rnacentral:rRNA from 1 species
AGAGUUUGAUCCUGGCUCAGGACGAACGCUGGCGGCGUGCCUAAUACAUGCAAGUCGAGCGAGCUUGCCUAGAUGAUUUUAGUGCUUGCACUAAAUGAAACUAGAUACAAGCGAGCGGCGGACGGGUGAGUAACACGUGGGUAACCUGCCCAAGAGACUGGGAUAACACCUGGAAACAGAUGCUAAUACCGGAUAACAACACUAGACACAUGUCUAGAGUUUAAAAGAUGGUUCUGCUAUCACUCUUGGAUGGACCUGCGGUGCAUUAGCUAGUUGGUAAGGUAACGGCUUACCAAGGCAAUGAUGCAUAGCCGAGUUGAGAGACUGAUCGGCCACAUUGGGACUGAGACACGGCCCAAACUCCUACGGGAGGCAGCAGUAGGGAAUCUUCCACAAUGGACGCAAGUCUGAUGGAGCAACGCCGCGUGAGUGAAGAAGGGUUUCGGCUCGUAAAGCUCUGUUGGUAGUGAAGAAAGAUAGAGGUAGUAACUGGCCUUUAUUU